UAUCAACUAACUUUAUUGUCCGUGUAAAUCAAUGACAGACGGACGUUCCUGGCUUUCGGUACCUCGGGCAGUGCAGAUCCGCGUGGGGCUCUUCGUGUCGCAACAAAGGACGACCUAAUAGCGCACUAGGGCACCACGUGUAAGCCGAAAAUACCGGGAAUAAAGGGAACGGGCAGAGACUCAGAGUAGAGCCGGAGCUUCGGGAUUACUGGAAGCAGAGGUAAUGCCUGAGGUGAAGUCGAUGUUUCGGGAGGUGCUGCCCAAGCAAGGGCAGCUGUGUGUGGAGGAUGUUCCCACAAUGGUGCUGUGCAAACCCAAAAUCUUACCCCUGAAAUCUGUUACCCUUGAAAAACUGGAGAAAAUGCAGAGAGAGGCCCAGGAGGCGAUUCGGCGGCAGGAAAAAGAAGCGAGUGACCCGCCCCCUGGGCCAGAGUGACUGCUGGGAGAGCAGCACCUCAACUGCCACCACUAACUGUCAGCAGCACUAACACAUGCACUGAUGUACACUAUAGGGAAGAUAUUCCACAGCAGCACUAACACAUGCACUGAUGUACACUAUAGGGAAGAUAUUCCACCCCAUGUCUCCAGACUUGAAAUCUAAACUCCUUGAAUUUAAAUCUGACGAUAUUUCUUUGUAUAAAGCUAUUGGCUGCUCUCUAACUCUAUAUUGUAAUCCUUACACUCAUACUAGUUACACUGUUUAUUAACCAUCACUUUAUAAUCUUCCCAGUGCUUGUGGUAUAUUACUUUUAUUGUAUUAAAUUGUUAUUACCGACA